AGAAGAGCAUUGGUGGUAUAAAUACCCAGCAUAAACAGGAUUAAAAGAGCAACUACUGACUCCAUCAGAGAAGUGUGAAGUGAGAGAGACAAGCAUAGAGAGAGAAUAAAGUGUAAGCAUCAGGAGCACUGUGUACUGCAGUGUGUCUCAACACGCUCGCUUUACUACAAUACUCAACUUGGGAGACAAGAAGCGUCACUUCUCUGAACUCUUUUACUGGAACGCCAUCCCAUCUCUCUCUCUCUCCAUCAGACACGCUCGUACACACAAAUGGAGAAUAUGUCUUGGUGCUGAAGUAUUGCUGAAGUUCAAACUGGGCCACUGGAUACAUCUAUUUUGGUCCACUCAGUGGCACCAGUCCCACUGGACACGCACCCACACACGGACAACAUCGCAGAGUUCAGGAUCCAUGGAAGAGCUGGACGCCAAAAUCUUUUGUGCCUCUUGCAUGGUAUGUAAUGAUAUUUCUGGCAAUCAUAACACACACAAGCUUUGCUAUUAUUAUUUUGUCACCGACUUGAUUGACACAAGGACGUUGUGGCUCAGCAGGACAUAGGCUGGUUUGGUCAAGGACACACUUUCUGCUAUUGUUUAGAAGAACAUGCUGCAGUUCCCAUUAGAGAGAGACAUUUCUAUUGUUAUUCACUGUAUCUGCAAUCCACUGUUGCCUCUGUAGUGACUCAUGUAGUAGAUGCUCCCAAGAGAUUGCAGGAAUAAAUUAAUUCCCAUGUUUAGAAUGCAUUGAGACAGUUACUCAAAACAUAUUUCACUUUUAUUAAAAAGCAGGAAAAAGCGACACCCUCUAUUCAAUUUGCUCCUCACCCCAUACACAAACUAUUAAAUUCGGUCUACAAAUCAUACUUCCAGAUUACAAUAAAAAGGAGAUUAUUUCAUGACAUACAGUCUUGUGCGUUAUUAUCCUAAAAGUCUCUGUGCACGUCCUCUGAUUGACGAAUCUCACUACUAAUCUGAACUGUCCUGUACAGACACACACACACUACAGCUCCUGCUGUUUAUCAGCACUGUGCUGUCAUAUGCAGUGUGUUGCCAUAUUCCCCUGCCUGCCGCAUGCUGGUGAGAUAACCUUUUACUUAGCUUGAGUGAUAAACAAUUAGCCGGUGAUUAUGUGCGACAUAUGAGAGGAAUUCUCAUUUGAUUAAAUGUGUUCUCAGCAACGCAGAACGUCUCACAGACAAGUUGUGUUAUUGUGUCUGUUGUACUGGCAUUAUGAAGUGCAAAGAAGCUGUUUUUAGAUUAUUUGAAGUGUUAAAUAUUGCAUGUAUUGUGAGUCAGUGGGAUGGGUGCUCUCUUCAUGCAUGCGUGUGUGUGUGUGUGUGUGUGUAUGUGUGUGUGUGUGUGUGUGUGUGUGUGUGUUGUGAUCUCUGACUCAGAUGAUGGAGGAGAAGGCCAGUAAGAGGUCAAGCCACUGAGAGCUCUUUCAUUCUUUGCUCUAGGUCUGUUUCACACCGCUCGCAUAAGCAGCAUGCAAGAGAAGCCGUCGUAGGAUCGUGUUGUGCUUUCACAUUGUGUAACCAACUGCGCCUUGAUAACGUAAAUCAAGUGAUUUCUAGGUUAUAACUUUGGUGAAAAAUAAAUUGUAUUUGAAAUACAUUUAUUUCAUGGUAAGUAUACUACAGAUACUUGAUUUACAUAUUUAUGUACAUAAUAAAAACACACUGCAAUUGAACUUUUGUAUUUCAAAAUAGUGUACUCGAAGUCUGAAAAUUGGAAUUGAUUUUGUACUUAAUGCAGCUUAAUUGUGAGGAAGCAGUGCUGUGUUAAAUUGUGUUAGAUUGUGUUAAAGUGGAACAAUUACAAGUGUACAAUCCUCAUCAAUAGUGACAUUAAACAAAUGCAUCGUACACAAGUAGUACUCCAAAGAAGGUUGAAUUCUUUUUUUUUUUUUAUAUCAGUAUGUCUUGAGCGAUAUUUGAACCAUACUUAGUAUGAAAUAAAUUUAUUUUAAAUAUAUUACUUUUUUACUAGGAAUGACAUUGACCCUAAACAUUUCCUGCUUGUUGUCAAACAAUUACAAAACAGUUACAGGAGGCGCUUGAAUUGUUAAACACGGCUGUCAUAACAUGUUUUCAUCAAAAUGUGGACCUUUUUGGAUUUUCAGAAGUUAUGGAACAUAAAAGUGUAUAACUGGAAAUGCGUUAGGACCAGUUAUCACAUGGGAAGUCAUGGCCUAAUGGUUAGAGCAAUUGACUCCUAACUCUAAAGUUGUGGGUUCGAGUCUUGGGCCGGCAAUACCACGACUGAGGUGCCCUCGAGCAAGGCAUCGAAUCCCCAACUGCUCCCCGGGCGCCACAGCAUAAAUGGCUGCCCACUGCUCUGUGUGUGUUCAUGAACUCAGAGUUAAACUGUGUCAGAACAAAUUCAUCAUGAUAAUGUCAGAUAACUGCGUUAGAAAGGUUUUAAUAGCUGUCAGCUGUUAAAUUUAUGCACACAAUUACAUAAUACAAAUUAAAAUAAAAAAUGUAGAAUUUAAUUUUGUUCAGUAUGUGGUGUAAAAAGGUUGCAUUAGCAAUUAAAGAAAAACACUUAAGCAACACAUGGUCAGGUCAAAGUGCAUACUUUUUGGUCUCAAUUUUUUUUGCUGGUAAUCCACUGUAUGAAGAAUUUUUGGAUAUGUUAUAGUUUACCUUUGCUAUCCUCACUUUGAACUAUAGUGUCCUGCACUCACUACAAAAAUAAAAAAAUAAAAUAAUAAAUAUAUCAAAAAUUAUAUCUGGUGUCUGAAUAAUUUUUGGUUUGACUGUAUAAUAGAAAAUACCAUAUAUAAAGAUCAGUGGUUAGGACCGUCGUGUUAGAAAAUACAAUAUUUAUCUAGCAUACUGCGUACUGCGUGUGACAAAAUAAGCUUAGAAUGUAACUCUACAUAGCUGCGCUUCUAUUACCAGUGUUAUGAGGGCAGUGUGAAAGCUGUAACCGGUUAAUAUCUGACUGAAAUAAAUGUGUCACUUACGUGAGCAGUGUGAAACCUAAGCUAGAUCUGAAAUAUGUUCCCCUACCACAUCCAACUCCAGCAUCAGCAAAAUAAGCCUGGAGGCUUGUUUGGUUCCUUGAUGCACCAUCAUAUGGCUUUUAAUUUAUUAAAUGCCCUCUAGCAGUAGAAAGCUGCUUGUGUAGUACAGUACAUACAUCUCACCGUGUACUCAACGUGCACAUACAGCUGGAAGUGUCAUAAAAGCACAAUACACCAGCAGCUCUGAUUGAUCAGAUUUCGCUCCCUAUGCACAGCACAGCUCUCGUGUCUUGUAGCCGUCUCAGUUAACAAGCACUGGCAUGAGAUGAAAAGACCCGUCUCACACAAAAUGAAAAUGAAAUGGAGGUCUGAACCAGUGGCUGUGUCCGGAACGCUACUGUCCAGUGAGAUGGUGACUAAACAGACAGUGUUACAUUAUUAUAAUCAGUAUUAUAUUAAAUAUUAGUAUUGUAAUUUUAUUGUUGUACUUAAAAAAUACAGUUAUUAUUAUUAAUCGUUGUUAUAUUUUUUCUUAAUUACUUAAUUUUUUAUUUAAAUAUAU
rnacentral:lncRNA from 12 species